ensembl:snRNA U6 U6 spliceosomal RNA
AUGCUUUCAUCAGCAGCAUGUAUACUGAAGUUGGAAACAUAAAAAGAUUAGCACAGCCCUGCACAAGAAUGAAAUGCAAAUUUGUGAAGUAGAGUUUUUGUUG